rnacentral:rRNA from 1 species
GACGAGGGACCCUAGCGUUGUUCGGAAUCAUUGGGCGUAAAGCGGGUGUAGGUGGCUUUGUAAGUCAGGUGUGAAAGCCCUGGGCUCAACCCAGGAAGUGCAUUUGAUACUGCGAAGCUUGAGUGCCGAGAGGUUACUGGAAUACCUGGUGUAGUGGUGAAAUACGUAGAUAUCAGGUGGAACACCGGAGGCGAAGGCGGGUAACUGGCCGGACACUGACACUCAGACCCGAAAGCGUGGGGAUCAAACAGG